CGAGCGCGCAUUACUAUUUUCAGGCACACAAGGCACCUCUCUUGACGGAUUUUCAAUAAGUGAAGAGGGCGGCGAUAGGUGAGCGCGCGUGCGAUAGGAUCGGUCAUUUUUUUUUGUCGGCUUCGCGCGAUCAUCGGACGGUCCGGUUGUUCUCGACGGUGGGAUAUAGAGGUAGGUGUGUGCGCGCGCGAUAAAGCACAGUGUGUUAAAAAGCAAGCGGGUGAACGAGGCGACGAAAGAACCGAGGGGGCGAAGAGGAGGUGGAGGCACACGCGAAUCAGCAGCAGCGACGACAAGGGCGAUGUCGGGCCACGUCCCGGCGGCUCUCGGCGCCUGACUCGAUCGCGUCUGUCUCGGUACGUUCCGCCGGAAGAUGAGAGAGGCCCCUACGUCGCAGCGAGCAGCUGAUGGCGGCCGAGCGCUCUUGCGUUACGAGUUGCUCUUAACGUACAAGUCUACCUAACGUCGUCGGGCGUCCGGGCGGCGCGAGUGGUGGUGUUUGACGGCCGCCGCGCGAAAGGGACAUCCAGGUAGCAGUGACUCGACACCCGAGUCUCGUCCUCGCGCGUACAUAUAUAACGCCCCGAUCGUGCGGAUUAUUAUAUAUCCGUGUUAAGGUCCUCCAGACAGGAUAUCGUAUAUACCGCUGCGUGUGCGCGCGGCCACAUUAUCCGCGGCCAUACUUACUACACGGACGUGCGCUGCUAUACCAGCCGCAGUCGAAUCGUUCUCUAUUUCGUAACGGUGCUUUUUCUUUCUCCUCUCUCUUUCUUUCUCUCUCUCUCUCUCUCUCUCUCUUCCUCUCUCACUUUGUCUCUCGGUUGGCCGGUAGUUCGACUCGAGCACGACGGCACGGUGCGUGCGUGCGUGCGUGCGUGCGUGCGUGCGCUUAAUCUCAGCUCUACGCAUAUCGUUGGAGAGGAGAGACCUCAACACCGACCGAUCAACCGACUUAACCAACGAACCAGCAGCGGCUACCCAUCACCGACCGGCGCCGCCGUCGUCGAUCGAAUCCACCCUACGUCGUUUGCGACGCGGGCGAGUCGAGGAGAGCCCUCUCUCCCUUUUCUCCUGCAAAGAGGACCCGCGGCUACCGGUCGUCGUUUUACGCCGUAUAUAUUUUACACAGUGUAGGUGGGAGCGGAAGAGGACGGAGACACGGUAGUGCGUCCGCGUGUGCGACAACGCCUAGAGAUCAUCGCGCCCCUUCCUCCCGGUGGUAGCCGGUGCGCGAUCGGGGUUUGCAAAUUGUGACAUCGUUCAUAGGAUCCACGACGACGCCGUGACCGUCACCGAUUAGAAAAAAAAAAAAAAAAUAAAAGGAAAAAAAAUUCCCCGGGCGUGUGUGCUAUGCUCCUCGGACGCUCUCGGCGGAGCUCACUUUGUUACUCCUUCAUCGCAGAGUGAAUGAACAAAAGUGAAUCGUGUUAAAGGAAGAAGAAGAGGGAGAGAACGAACGAAUGCGACACAAGACCAUCACACGUGUAUCGUGUAUCAGUGUGUUCCUUUCUUUCUCGUGAAGUGCAGUGUAUUCGUCGUCGUCAUCGUGCACGGAAUGCGGCCUCUUCGGGGUGAGGGUGAUCUUCGUCUCUAGUCGCGAGACGCUUCGCUAUCUGGAAAUACCCAGGAGAAAGAGGCGCAGGAGCCGCUACAGCCCUCGUUGAGAGCCUCGACACAUCACCAGGAUAAAGUCUUACAGUGCCUCCGUUAAUGCCAAAAUGUCGUCAGGGACUUUCGUCGACCGGAUAGACCCCUUCGCCAAGCGAUCCCUGAAGAAGAAAUCCAAGAAGUCGCAGGGUUCCUCCCGUUAUCGCAAUUCGCAAGACGUAGAGCUCCAACAGUUGCCACUGCUUAAAGAUGUUAACGCUGCGGAACAGGAGGAAUUGUUUAUCAAAAAGCUCCGCCAAUGCUGCGUGGCUUUCGACUUCAUGGAUCCAAUGGCUGAUCUCAAGGGUAAAGAAAUUAAACGGAGUACGCUCAAUGAAUUGGUGGAGUAUAUCACAGCAGGACGAGGUGUCCUUACUGAGCCCAUUUACCCGGAAACUAUCAAGAUGGUUUCUGCAAAUUUAUUUCGUACGUUGCCACCGAGUGAAAACCCGGAUUUCGAUCCAGAAGAGGAUGAUCCGACACUGGAGGCGAGUUGGCCCCAUCUUCAGUUGGUCUACGAAGUCUUCCUCCGUUUUCUCGAGUCUUCAGAUUUCCAGCCUGCCAUUGGCAAAAAAGUUAUCGACCAAAAAUUUGUGUUACAGUUAUUGGAUUUAUUCGACUCGGAAGACCCGAGGGAAAGGGAUUUCCUGAAAACCGUUUUGCAUCGUAUUUAUGGCAAGUUCCUGGGUCUUAGAGCCUUCAUACGCAAACAAAUAAACAACAUUUUUCUGAGGUUUGUGUAUGAAACAGAACAUUUCAACGGCGUCGGUGAACUUCUUGAAAUUUUGGGUAGCAUUAUUAAUGGAUUCGCUCUUCCUUUAAAAGUUGAGCAUAAGCAAUUUUUGGUUAAGGUGCUGUUACCGCUACAUAAAGUGAAAUGUUUAUCACUAUAUCACGCGCAGUUAGCUUAUUGUGUGGUGCAAUUUUUGGAAAAAGAUGCGACUUUAACAGAACCAGUUGUACGAGGCCUCCUUAAAUUCUGGCCUAAAACGUGCAGCCAGAAGGAGGUGAUGUUCCUUGGCGAAAUCGAGGAAAUAUUGGACGUUAUAGAACCUAGCCAAUUUGUUAAAAUACAAGAACCUUUAUUCAGGCAAAUCGCACGUUGCGUAUCUUCACCACACUUUCAGGUUGCGGAAAGAGCAUUGUACUUUUGGAAUAACGAGUACAUAAUGUCUCUAAUUGAGGAAAACAAUCAUGUAAUAAUGGGAAUUAUGUUUCCAGCACUGUACAGAAUUAGUAAAGAGCAUUGGAAUCAGACGAUCGUAGCUCUUGUUUAUAACGUUUUAAAAACGUUUAUGGAGAUGAACAGCAAGCUCUUUGAUGAACUUACUGCCAGCUAUAAGUCUGAAAGGCAAAAAGAGAAAAAGAGGGAAAAGGAGAGAGACGAAUUGUGGAAGAAACUGAGCGAAUUGGAGAUAGAACGACGUAAUGCUCUCGAACGUAAUGCUAUCACAGCUACCUCCAAUAAUCCAGUUCCUGCCACUAACACACCUGCGACGCGAACCCGCCCCUGAGCUGGUCGAAUUACAGUACCACGCUGCCCGAUUGUUAGCUCUUAGUUUACGUCGAUUGUCCAUAUAUUACACGCAAAAAAUUAUUGUUGUUAGUGAAACAAAGUGUCUCACGAUGGCAUCCUUGACGUAAUGUAAUUCAUUUUAUUAGUUGUGACCAGUAUGGCGGAGUGAUAGAAGCAGGAAAAAAAAUGCAAAAGAAAAGACAAUGCACGCAAUCUUAUGCUUUUUUUUUGUUUUUUUCUUCUUUUUUUUUGACAACAAUAAUGACAUCAACAAUAACAACGUGGCGAUCAGUGAAUUCCAAAUGAUUUUAUAUAUGUGUAUAUCGGGUACAUUUACUUCCGUUUCUUGUCUCGUUUUGAAAUGGGGAAACGGUCUCGAUUGCAUGAUGUGUGUACUCUCAGUGUCAGUACGCAACAAUGUAUUAGUCCAUCCUUGACUAAGAUUUUGUUGCGUUUUCGGUAGGACGGGACAAUCGUGGUGUAAAUUUCGAAUGGACGAAGUUAUACACGUCGUUGUGAUCCUUAUGUUCAUUUUACGGAGGACGCGACACUUUGUGCAUUCUCUCAGACGGCCAGUGUGUCGCCUCCUGACUGACCCUUGCGCUGUUUAUUACUGCUCCUGAUAGAGCCAGCGGGGGUGUUUGAAUAUAUGUAUCAUAUAUUCGUAUUAGCGAUAACGAUAAUUAUAACAGAGGGAAGGAAGAAGGAAUAAUGGAGCGAGGGGAUGAGAGGAGUAUACAAUAAAUGACGAAGAAAAGAAAAACAGAUUUGAUUGUACCAAAAACAUCCGUUGCUUAUAAAUAUAAUUACGUGAUAGUGAUACAGCGCGCAGAUAUAUAAGGAUCCACUUUGGAGCUGUGCUCCCUACACUGGCAAAUGUAGGGGAAACACACAUAUAUAUACACACACACACUACACACACCGCGGGGUCGUUUUUAAAAUUUCUUACCAUUGCAUAAUAAUAAUUAAUAAUAUUACGAAUAACGAUAAUGGUAACAAUAAAGAAUAACU